GUGGGGCAUAUUGGGCAAUGGGCGAAAGCCUGACCCAGCAACGCCGCGUGAAGGAAGAAGGUCUUCGGAUCGCAAACUUCUAUCCUUGGUGAAGAUACUGACGGUAGCCGAGAAGGAAGCCCCGGCUAACUACGUGCCAGCAGCCGCGGUAAUACGUAGGGGGCAAGCGUUGUCCGGAAUGAUUGGGCGUAAAGGGCGCGUAGGCGGCCUGGUAAGGCUGGAGUGCAAGUCCUGUCUUUAAGGUGGGAAUUGCUUUGGAUACUGUCGGGGUUGAGUGCAGGAGAGGUAAGUGGAAUGCCCGGUGUAGCGGUGAAAUGCGUAGAGAUCGGGAGGAACACCAGUGGCGAGGGCGACUUACUGGACUGUAACUGACGCUGAGGCGCGAAAGUGUGGGGAGCGAACAGGAUUAGAAACCCCAGUAGUCC
rnacentral:rRNA from 1 species